AAAUAUGAGGGUGUGGGUUUGCUGGCAACAGCGUCCGCCCCAAGUAUUUUUCACCCCAUGUCUUUUGCGCACUUUUUGUUUUCCUGGGCGAGUUCGCUCGCCACCAGGACCCAACCAUAAACCUUUUUUUAUGCAGUUGCAAUCAGCGUCAGUAUAAUAAUUCAAUUUAUUAAAACUUUCAACAACGGAUCUCUUGGUUCUGGCAUCGAUGAAGAACGCAGCGAAAUGCGAUACGUAGUGUGAAUUGCAGAAUUCAGUGAAUCAUCGAAUCUUUGAACGCACAUUGCGCCCUUUGGUAUUCCAAAGGGCAUGCCUGUUCRAGCGUCCAUUUGUACCCUCAAGCUUUGCUUGGUGUUGGGCGUCUUUUUGUCUCUCCCACUUGUUGGGGGAGACUCGCCUUAAAACGAUUGGCAGCCGACCUACUGGUUUUCGGAGCGCAGCACAAAUUUGCGCCUUCCAAUCCGCAGGGCGGCAUCCA
rnacentral:sRNA from 1 species